CCCACUUCUAUUUAUGUGACAGCAGAGAUCAUGACAGAGAUCAGUGGACACAUGGUUUGACCCGUCAGUUCACCUGCUUCUCCAUCAACCAUGUUUCCUGCAGCUCUGCUGCUGCUGUUGGCAGCUGGAUCCAGUGUGAAGUGUGAACAGCUGACACAGCCAGACUCUGUGACUGUGCAGCCAGGUCAGCGUCUGACCCUCACCUGUCAGGUCUCUUAUUCUGUGACCAGCUACUGGACAGCUUGGAUCAGACAACCUGCAGGGAAAGGACUGGAGUGGAUCGGGAUGAGAGUUGGUAGCAGCACCUACUACAAGGAUUCACUGAAGAGCAAGUUCAGCAUCGACCUGGACUCCUCCAGAAACACAGUGACUCUAAACGGGCAGAACCUGCAGCCUGAAGACUCUGCUGUUUAUUACUGUGCCAGAGACACACAGUGACUCAAAGCAUCAGUGGA